AUUGAACGCUGGCGGCAGGCCUAACACAUGCAAGUCGAGCGGAUGAGAGGAGCUUGCUUCUCGAUUCAGCGGCGGACGGGUGAGUAAUGCCUAGGAAUCUGCCUGGUAGUGGGGGACAACGUUCCGAAAGGAACGCUAAUACCGCAUACGUCCUACGGGAGAAAGCAGGGGACCUUCGGGCCUUGCGCUAUCAGAUGAGCCUAGGUCGGAUUAGCUAGUUGGUGAGGUAAUGGCUCACCAAGGCGACGAUCCGUAACUGGUCUGAGAGGAUGAUCAGUCACACUGGAACUGAGACACGGUCCAGACUCCUACGGGAGGCAGCAGUGGGGAAUAUUGGACAAUGGGCGAAAGCCUGAUCCAGCCAUGCCGCGUGUGUGAAGAAGGUCUUCGGAUUGUAAAGCACUUUAAGUUGGGAGGAAGGGUUGUAGAUUAAUACUCUGCAAUUUUGACGUUACCGACAGAAUAAGCACCGGCUAACUCUGUGCCAGCAGCCGCGGUAA
rnacentral:rRNA from 1 species